rfam:Canis lupus familiaris chromosome 33, whole genome shotgun sequence.
UCCUGGCUGGCUUAGUCAGUAGAGCAUGCGACUCUUGAUCUCAGGGUCAUGAGUUCAAGCCCCAUGUUGAGUA